ACGCGUGGAACCUUACCAGGUCUUGACAUCCCAUUGACCGCUAUGGAGACAUAGCUUUCCCUUCGGGGACAGUGGUGACAGGUGGUGCAUGGUUGUCGUCAGCUCGUGUCGUGAGAUGUUGGGUUAAGUCCCGCAACGAGCGCAACCCUUGAUCUUAGUUGCCAGCAUUCAGUUGGGCACUCUAAGGUGACUGCCGGUGACAAACCGGAGGAAGGUGGGGAUGACGUCAAAUCAUCAUGCCCCUUAUGACCUGGGCUACACACGUGCUACAAUGGAUGGUACAAAGGGCUGCAAGACCGCGAGGUUUAGCCAAUCCCAUAAAACCAUUCUCAGUUCGGAUUGCAGGCUGCAACUCGCCUGCAUGAAGCUGGAAUCGCUAGUAAUCGCGGAUCAGCAUGCCGCGGUGAAUACGUUCCCGGGCCUUGCACUCACCGCCCGU
rnacentral:rRNA from 1 species